AUUUUGAGAAUGGGGUUUAAUUUUCCAGAUUUGAAGGUAUAUGAACUGCUUUUGAUGGCUUUUGAAACUUGAGGGUAAAAUUAAGGCCAUGAAAAUGAAUCUCUAAAGAGACCCAUUUUCCUAAAGAUUAUGACUCUUCCCCUAUUCAACUCUUUUGUCUUUCUUCGGAGUUCCAUAUCACCAUGUCAGCUCCAUACCUUUCAAUUUUUACUUUCUUGUUUUUCCUCUUCUCUCUCUCUAGACUCUUUUCUUCUUCUUCUUCCUUCUUUUUUUACCCUCUUUGCAAAGUAGCAGUACUGUGUACGCUCCUGUGUUCUGCCAUGGAUGCCCGAAUCAUGAAAAAGGAAACAAAGUUGGCCCCUCCUAUCUCUCUAUAGUCGCUUUCCCACUUUCUCUCUAUAUAUAAAUAUUGAGUACUGUGUUUCUCGACUCCCAAUAUUUCCGGUUUUAUUUUCUGGUUUGGUCCUGUCAACCCAAUGAUAGCAGAUUUUCUGUCCUCAAAUUUUUUAUUUUUUUAUGUUUUUUUAUUUAAAUUUUGACACAUAAUUUCUUAUUUAAUAUUAAUUAAUUUUAAAAUUAAAUAAAAGAACAUGCGUUCAAAUAUAAGCGAAAGAACACAAAUAAAACAGAGAAUUUGGGGAUAGAAUUUUAUAACUCCUGUUUUAAUUUCCCUCUAAUGAAUACUUUUUCAUUUCUCUUAUGGACUACCAAAACUAAUUAUUAAAUAUUUGAUUAAAAAUUGUUAAACGUUUGAAAAACAUUUGUUAAUCCACUAAAAAUUCAAUUAUUAGAGCUUGAGCAUUUUGUUGGUUUAUUUGUUUUUUUGGUUUUAAUGAUAACAAUUUGAGUUUUUGUAGUAUCUUAUGGAAAUGGUUAGUAUGAAUUUUAUUUUUAGGUAAGUUGGUCAAUUUACGAAUAGAGUGCUGACACAAAUGCGACUCUAUGUGUGUCAAAAUUUUAUUAGUCAAUUGACCAAUUUAUCUAACAAUAUGUUGAUCAAGUUUCCUCACAUAUUUUGAUGUCUACUAUUACUCAAAACAGAUUUUAUAUUCUAAAAAAAAUUAUCCAUGUGGUUAUUUUUUGUUACUGAUAUCAAAUCCGAUAAAAUAUUUUCAUAUCAUUUAAGAAUUUGAUUUAAUUCAACAAUCAUAGUUUUUAUUAACAGUUGGACAUUACUUUUUUAUAUAUACACACGAUUAUGUUGCUAACAUCAAUGUUAACGUCAAGAUCUUCUUCAACGUCUUAAUUACGUAAGACGCUCUGAUCCUGCACAGUAAACACGAUAAACACCACAAGCUUGACGGAUGGACCGUUGGGGGAUAGCUCAGGCGUGAGAAUCAGUAUACGUGUUCACAAGGUUAACAAUGGAGGAUGUAAUGUCUAGUGUAUUGAGAGUGAUGAUAAUUCUCAGUUGUGUGUUUGUGAAUAUGAAUGUGAACGUACCUGUUUGUGAAGACUUGGUUGAUAGGUUAUACUCUCUUGCCCGGUUUACCGUGCCACCCACUACCAACUGACACAGCCCCCAUGAUCUGAUGGGCUCUGCCGACUGCAUGCAGUCUACCCACUACCUUUGGUCACUGUUUAUGCCGCCGGCCAGCUAUANNNNNNNNNNNNNNNNNNNNNNNNNNNNNNNNNNNNNNNNNNNNNNNNNNNNNNNNNNNNNNNNNNNNNNNNNNNNNNNNNNNNNNNNNNNNNNNNNNNNCACUUUGCUUAAGGAACACCGAACUCUUUCCACUCGGCCCAACAGAUAUUGGUUAAUUUAAAAUAUUUUUAAACUCAAAAUUAAGAUGAUUAAUUAAAAAUUAUGAAAUAAUAAAUUUUGCAAUGAAUAAUAUUAUUUAGAUAGUUUACAAAAUUUAUCAUUUUAUUAAUUAAAAUUUUAAAAAAAUAUGUUAAUUUUUAAUACAAAAUAUCUUAAAUUGACUUUAAAAAUUUAAUAAUAAUUUAAUGUUUUGAAACGUAAGAAGUAUUUAUUUAUGAAAAAAUAAUUAGUAUGGUUUUGUCCAAAUCUUUACCAAUUAUUUUAUGGGAGUACGUCAUUUAAAACUAAAUGGACUUGUCAAUGUUGUUUUAGGAGAACACUAUUUUUAUAUGUAUUUUUUAUAUUUUUUUACGUGAUUCACUGUACACGUAUAAAAGAAAAGAGAAUUAUUUUAUGGGAGUACGUCAUUUUCAACGAAAUGGACUUGUCAAUGUUGUUUUCCGAUAUCAUUACAUUUAUAUGUAUUUUUUAUAUUUUUACGUGAUUCUUUUUCAUAUAAAAAUAAGUGAGACUCGCUAUGAGAGCAGAUCAUCAGUCCCUAAAUUCUUUGUCUCUCUUGUGUUCCUCCACUUAAAUUUUGACACAUAUUCUUUUAUUUAAUUUUAGAAUUAAUUAGUGUUAAGUAAGAGACUAGGUGUCAAAAUUUAAGUGGAAGGACACAAGGGGACAUAAAAAUUGGAGACAGAAGAUCUGCUCUCUACUCGCUGUAUACUUAAUAUAAAAAAAAAAAAGGAUCAUGUAAAAAUAUCAAAAAUAUAUGUAAAUUUAUCAGUUCUCUUGUUUUAAAGUACUGAUUUUAUCUUAUCAAUCAAAAAAGAAGAGAGAAUUAAUAAGUAUGAUACAAGUUGUAAUUCGUAAUUGGUGCGGACAAGUCUGUCACCCUUAUAUGGGAAAUAAUAUAUAGUGCAAUUUUGACUAAAUUAUUGAAAUCUCAAUUAAGUAAUAGAAUUAACAUUUACGGAAAUGUUAGAUUCAAUAAAUAUAACAUGUAUCUGAAAGAAUUCUACACAUUUACAAAAAAAAAAGUAAAGGGGUGUUUGAUAAAAAUUGAAUGAAUCUGAAUCUGAAUGAGCUGAAUCUGAAUCUGAAUUAAAAAAACUAUUUGAUAAUUGACAUGUCUGAAAUAUCUGAAUGACAAAACUUUAUUAUUUUAUCUCUCUGAAAAAAUUUAAAAUUGUUGUACAUUUAUUUAAUAUUACUUAAUAUAAUAGUUAAUAUUUUUUUUUAAUUUUUUUUACUUCAUUCAGCUGCUUAUUCAGUUAAAAAAAUUUGACUUAACCAUUCAGUUCGUCCAUUCAAACGCACCGACCGAUUCAACAAGAUUCAGCUUCAUUCAACUCUAAACAAACACAUCCUAAGAGAGACUAAUUUCUGUAAAAUCCUACUCGUAUUCCACCUCUCAUUUGUUCUCAAGUAAUUAAGUUUUCACCAUUUACUAGAAAACUUCAAUUUUUCACCAUUAACAUAUCAUCAUACAGAGCAGAAAUAUGUCCGAAAUGAUGCAUGACUUCUAAAUGCUGCACUUUAAGAUUUUGCAUACAGGAAAUAUAGUCUGCCUAGAGUCAAGACUAGAUAAUAAUAAUAAUAAUAAUAAUAAUAAUAAUAAUAAUAAUAAGUAAAUUAGAGUUCAAAAGCAAGAAAUAUUACAAAAUUAAGUCAUAAUGAGGAGGCACCACCACCACCAUAAGUUGAAAAUUAUUGAGUUGGUAUCAAAGAGAGUGGAGUCGGUUACUUGAUUGACAAUUUGUGACUCCUCAGCACCUCCAAGCUGAAGCUAACAUAAGCUCAUGGUGCUGCCAGCAUAGCACAAGAGAAGCCUGACGCUUCUCCACAUGAAAUCCCCUUACUUGGGUUCUUUGCGCCACACAAUCUGCCUGAGAUUCCGCAAAAUUACUAAAAGCAACGGGUGAGAAGCCCAUGGAAGCAAACAGAGAUUUCCAAGGGGGCAUUUGUUGUGGGAAAUGGAGGCGCCCUAACACCAUACUUUCAAUCCUAGGCUGGAAAAGGAACUUUUCAAUCUUGUUGACUGUUUCUGAAGUCACAUUAGCAGACUCAAUAGAGUCCAACAGAACCUCAUAGUAUUGGAGUUCAUGGAGAAGGUGUUGAGGGGAGGGGAGUUCGAUCCUUUCACACCCGCGGUCCAUUGAUACAAUGAUUUUUGGAGAUAGAUUCUUUAUAAAGCGCAGGAGAGAUGGAAGGGCAGGUAGAUAACCUGACAAGGACCAAAUGGGUAAAUUCACAGCAAUUGCUUCAUUCUUUGAGGAUCGAGAAGGCGGCAACGAAUAAGAAUUUGGCUCAAAAGAAUCAAAAUUCACCACUUCAAGCUCAAAAGAAACACCAGUUUCAUUAGCAAAUUGUGUCAAAUUUUCAUACAUAAGGCCGAGCUCAAUUGGGUGGUGCGUUGUAGGAGAGGCAAAUGCAGUAAUUUUCAAUGAUGGGGCACCUCUCUCCUUCCUAGGAAGCUCCUGUAAGAAAGAAGACCAUUGUGCACCAAACCCAAUAUCAAAAUCUAGAAUGUGAAUGAUAUCAGCAUCGCCAAGGGCUUCAAGAAUGGCCUGGUUGGAUGUGAAAUUCAUGAAUUGAAUAAGUGGUGAAACUUCCGAAAGGACCUUAUAGGCACCCAUCUUAAACAUGCCAUCAACUGGUGUGGGAAUUUUUGGCGGAAGAGAGGUGACUGGAUUGGACAUAAGAAGGGACAAAUGUAGAGCCUCCUUGAAAUAAAAAGAAGCCCUUUGAAAAGGCUUUGUGUUAGGGGAAAGCUGGUGAUUGAGCCGCGCCAAUAUCGCUUGCGCGUGUGAGAAAUUCCCAGCCACUAUUAACUCUGUGGAUUCAUAGAGCUGGUCAUAUAUAAAUUGCUGCUGCUGGUGGCGUGCAGCUGCAAUUUGCUCUCUGUCGCUACUGGCCGACUGUUGAUUGGGUACAAUAAACGGCUUCUGCUGAAACUGAUAAGGAGGGGGUAAAUUAGACGGGCUCGCCAAACCCAUUUGUGGUUGCUGUUUGGAGAGUAAAAACUCGAAUCCCUGCUCAAUAGCAGGAAGCUUAGCAACUUGAGUACUGUAGUUUGCAAUGCCCGGAUUGUGACGCUUCAAUUGAGGCUCAUAAUGGUUUUGAUCUUGCUGCGUAUUAUUACAUAAUAAUAACGCAGACGACAUGUCAAGAUUUGGUGUAGUUUGAAACUGUUGUGGAUACAGCUGAGGCAAAGGCAAAUUGGGGUUUUGUGGAUUGCAAUUGUUGUUCAAACCACAAGAAUUUGGAGCAAAACCUGAGCUAAUUUUUCCAUUGUUGAUAUUAUUCUGAUUCAGAGAAAACCCAGAACUAGAAACAUCUAAGAAAGGAUUCAAGCUAGAAAUUUCAUUACCCGGGGGUUCCAAGGCGGCAGUCUCAUCGAUUUCGUUCACAUUUCUGGCCAGCAGAAUCUUUUUCAAGCUCAACGGAGUGUCGUCAACAUCGCUGGAAAUCCACCGGAGCAAAGACUGGUCUAAGGCUACAGAUUCAGACAGCAAGCUCUCCCAAUCAUCUAAUCCAGCUCCAAGACCGAAUCUUUGGAAGCUUCCAGGUCCAACAGCUGAAAUGGGUUGGAACUCCGCGGCCCACUCGUCCUUCAGGUAACCGUUGGGCACAUUGCCGGACUCCGGCGGUACAGAAACAGGGCUUUUGCGGUUGAGGGUGUUUUCAGAAAUUACCACCAAGCUAGCUGAGUUAUUAUCGAUAGAAUAUCCACCGCUACCACCACCGCAGACGACAUUUCCUCCGCUGCCGCCGAAAGAAGAGGAGGGAGUUGAUGUGGAGGUGGAAGGGCUGGGACUCCUCGUGUCCAAAACAGAGAUGGGUUCAUGAAUGCCGGCAAAACUUCUUUCCUUUUUGCACUUUGAUUCAAAGCUUGAAACUUUUCCUAAUACUCCUUCACCUCCUUGCAAGUUAUAUUCUAUUCCUCUCAUCUAAAACAAGAAAAACAAAAACCAAAACAAAUUAAAAAUCUUCACACCACAAUUAAUCAUCUAAAGAGAACAAAAGAUCAAAGAACAUAUAAAACAGCAUAUACCAUUAAAAUUAUUUAACUUGCCUUAUUUUGAGAAUGGGGUUUAAUUUUCCAGAUUUGAAGGUAUAUGAACUGCUUUUGAUGGCUUUUGAAACUUGAGGGUAAAAUUAAGGCCAUGAAAAUGAAUCUCUAAAGAGACCCAUUUUCCUAAAGAUUAUGACUCUUCCCCUAUUCAACUCUUUUGUCUUUCUUCGGAGUUCCAUAUCACCAUGUCAGCUCCAUACCUUUCAAUUUUUACUUUCUUGUUUUUCCUCUUCUCUCUCUCUAGACUCUUUUCUUCUUCUUCUUCCUUCUUUUUUUACCCUCUUUGCAAAGUAGCAGUACUGUGUACGCUCCUGUGUUCUGCCAUGGAUGCCCGAAUCAUGAAAAAGGAAACAAAGUUGGCCCCUCCUAUCUCUCUAUAGUCGCUUUCCC
rnacentral:lncRNA from 1 species